CUACCCACGUCUCUCUUUGAUCAAGAUUACUCGUGUCAACAUGCCUCGUGACAUUCCAAGGUGCGACUUCCGUCUCGAGUCAGAUUAACCCACGUGAGAUAUAGUCCUUAAUCUAUCUCCUUUUAUGUUUCAGCCCAUCUCUCCGAACCUUUAUAAGCUAGACUAAGGCUAGCUAGACUCACUUUAUCAUUUAUCCUUCUCGCUGACCGUCGAUUCUGGAUCAUAUUAUUACCUGGUGCCUCCCUCAGGUGUCUGCCUUUUAUGUGGAUCUGCCUAUUUGUUUGGAUCUACUAUCCAGUGUCAUUUGCUCACUUGACACUACUCAAUUGCCCGUUUGGCCUACCUGCCUAUUUGGCUUUACUACUUGGCGCUAGCGGCUCUACUUGCCUGCCUAUUUGACAGUCGGCUUGUCAACUUAUUAGGCACGACAUUCCUAUAGACUACGUGUCUGUGCGAGACGUCAUAGCUUCGCCAAAUAUCCGCAACUCACUGGACUUACACUGCUAACGACGCUGCCCACGGCAGAUCAGCUCUGCCCGCAGCACACUUGUGCCCAUGGUAGCAGGCCACCCGCUCUACUGUGCCCACUACAGAUAUCAGAACUUUGGAUUGAGACUCCACAAGAACUAUAUCACCGGCGACCUUCUACCCGCUAGAGCGCCACCUCCAGCUGCAAGACCUACAGCCAGGACGCAGUCAGCUGCAACCUCAGCAGGACAACCAGCUAAGUUCAGAGGACAAAAGUGACAUACUCUCUAGUUAAGUGUUUAGUAUGAUGAUACAAUAUUGCUAACGAGAUAGAUGCAAAUCCCCCCCCCAUUUUAUUCUAACUUGUUAAUUUAUGUAAAUAAAUAUUCUUUAAUUUUUCAACAUUUGUAUCUUUCUCCAUUUGUGACCUAAAGAGGAUUCAUGAACCAAUAUGAUCAGUUCACAUUACCUAUUAGCGGGUAUAGCUAAAAAUAUUUAAUUAGAAUUAUAGCUAGAUUUAGGUAUUUUAGGUCAACAGAUCAGUGUUAAAGGUGUGCUGGCACGUUCGUCCAGUGGCAUAUUGGUCCCUACUCGUAAUGCCUAGGUUAUAAAGUAUAACCUCUAGGUAUACAAAUAUAAACUAAUGUAUGCAACACAAGACUUAAAGUCGCAGGUAAACAUACAUACAAAGUUUAUUUAAGACUAAGACUAAGACUGCUUUAUUGAUCCUUACGGAAAUUUGUUGUGAUUACAAGGACUCGUUUCUCAUAUAAAGACAACACAACAGAAACAUACACAUAAAUACAACAGACAACAUGAAGAGUUCAUUCAGCGACUACACACAGGUAUCUUAGUUCAUGUUCCCUGAUCAAUGAGUGGCGGUGAUAGAGUCCGACCGAGUGAGGUACGAACGAGUUUUUGUACCGCUCCGUUCUUGUUUUGAUUGACAGCAGUCGCCCACUCCGCGACGACCUGGCGUAGUUCUGAUGGAGCGGGUGGCCGUUGUCUUCCAAGAUUUUUUCGAUUUUUCUUAGGCACGUUUGUUCAAAAAGUUCCUUUAAAUGUGGUAAUGUUGUGAGUGUAAUUUUUGAUGCUUUUUUAAUGAUGUUUUCUAGACGUUGCAACAGUUUAGAUGAGGCGUUGCCUUGCCAACAACUUAUUCCGUAUGUUAGCAGAUUUUGUACAGUUGCGCCGUAAAAUGUCUCAAGGAUCUUCUUGUUUAAUUUAAAACUGUUGAGUUUGUAUAGAAAAAAGAGUCGCUGGGCUGUUUUCUUUGUCAGAGUUCCAAGGUGGUCUUCCCAUGAAAGCUUGUUGUUGAUGAUAACGCCUAGAUAUUUAUAUGCCUUUACUUGUUCUAUAGAUGUAGUGUUUAUUUGCAGUUCACGUAUAGUUUGUUUUUUCUUUCUAAAAUCUAUUAUAAGUUCUUUAGUUUUUGUUACAUUCAGUUCUAGAAAGUUGUCGGUGCACCAGUUUGUAAACUCUUCUAUCGAGCUUCGAUACUGAGUUUCUUCUCCUGAAAUAAGACCGACUAUGGCAGUAUCAUCAGCGAAUUUAAUGAGUUUAACUGUCAUAGAUGCUUCUUAUGUCAUUAGUGUAAAGAGUGUAUAGUAUAGGAGAAAGCACACAACCUUGUGGAGCACCCGUACAUAGUACUCGAGUUGACGAUUUGGUGUUGUUGACUUUAACAUACUGGGGCCGUUGGGUUAAAAAGUUUAGAACCCAUGCUUGUAAGUAAGGGCUUACAUUUACGUUACUCAGUUUGUUUAUCAUUAGAUGUGGCUGUAUGGUAUUGAAAGCCGAGGAGAAAUCUACGAAGAGGACUCGUGCGUAGGUUUUGGGUAUAUCGAGAUGCUUAUAAAGAUGGUCCAAAAGCAAUAGAAUGGCAUCCUCAG